AUGUUCAAACAACACGUAAAAGUGAAUUUUGCAUCCGAUGACCCCUUAAAGUGUGUUAAGAAACACAGUCAUGAAAGUGAACUCUCUUUAAGCACACAUAAGUGGCAUUUUAUUUUAUUUCAUUUGUGUAGUAUGUAGUGAUCUGUGUUUUGGUUUGAUUUGGGAAUGAAUAUAAGUUACCAUAUUUGAUAGGAACAGGAAUAUUUCACCUUAAUAUGAACAUUGUGUGAAUCAUUUAGUCAACAGAAUAUUUUGUCUGCAUGAAAUGUCACAAAAGAUGUCUGUAAAGUGAAAUAAUCUAUCUCUGUUAUGGUAUUUGCGUGCUUGUACUGUUACAGAGAGAUCACAUGACCUCUAAAUAGAGAUUUAGAGCAGAGAAACUCAAGACUCAAGAGUAAUCAGUUCUCUCUGCACAUUACCAAACACACACACACACACACACACACACACACACACACACACACACACACACACACACACACACACACACACACACACACACCAUCAGUGCAGAUUCAGAGUGAGGAGCUGGAGAAGAAGGUAACAUCAAGCUCAUCAGCGUCUUUGUGGAGUGUAUUAAAAUUGAAAUGUGGAAAACAUCCAGCGUGAUGUGUAUGUGUUUUAAGGUUCUCUGGUAUUUCCCUGUCAGCAGAAACAAAACCUUCAGCUUUUAUGCAGUCUGAGAAAUUAAUGCGCUAAAAACAGCACGCCAACAAACUGCUGUUUACUCAGACGCUGAGUGGAUGAGAGAGACAGACAUGGAGUAGGAAAUCCCCGGGGGGCUCAUCCUUUAAAUGUAUUUAAAUGUAUUCUGGUAAUUACAAAUCCUUACACACACAUACAAGAGCACUCUGAUGCUGGGAGAGAGUGCAUGUUAUGAUGCUGCUUUGUUGUAAGGAGUAUGUGAGAUGGGAGAGUUAACUAAGGUAAACAUGUUUUAGCUGUUCCAGAAUGUUCUUCAGUAUUUUUAAACACUUAAAACAGAGAUACAGGGUGUGAUUUUACCAAAACAAGCAACUACAUUCUUAAUUAUACCCCAAACCCAAGCCUAGGUAGACCUCAAAUCAGUGCGACAUCAUAUUCUGCUAAAAUGAUAAAAUGCUUUGGUUCCUCCGAUUUCCAUACUUAAUGAACUCUUACAGAUGACUAUCAAGGUGCCAGUUUAUCAAUUUAUGAUUUGGUGAUACUGUACAUCCCAAUGCAGGCCUAAUGUUUCAUCAUUUAAUGACAGUAAAGUGACAGUAAAGACAUUUAUAAUAUCACAGAAUAUUUCUAUUUCAAAUAAAUGCUGUUCUUUUGAACUUUCUAUUCAUCAAAGAUUCUAAUAAAAUAGUAUCUAUUUUCCACACAAGUAUUAAACAACACAACUCUUUUCAACAUUGAUAAUAGUAAUUAGUUGAAUUGUAAUAAAUGUUUGCAAUUUUACUU
ensembl:lncRNA